GUGAGUGACCCAUUGCAUCUUGUUCGUAGGUGAAUUGCCUCCUGGCUUCAUCUGAACCUGCAGACAAGUCAUCAUGCGAGUCCUUCUCAUCCUUUUGGUCGGCCUGCUCGUCGUGGGGGAGGGGACGUGCUUGCUUAAUGAUUUGUAUAAAGGUACGUCAAUGCCGCCUGAGCGUUCUCUCCCAGUAGCACUGAAGAAAGCCCGAUCCGUCGUAAAUCCAGAUCCGCCUAGUGGAUCGCGAUUUGGCCGUAAACGUCGUUAGGCCAGGAAGACUUCCUUCCCGUGGUCAGUGAACUGACUUAGUCAGUCGUGGAGAUCAUCACAAUAUCAAUCAGCUGAUCGAUGUAAUUUCUUUUCCUGCUCUUUCUCCUUAUUUUUUUCUCGAAAAGCAAGAACGAUGUUCAAGAAAAUAAUCACCUAUAACAUAAAACCUAGUAUUUUUCAACUAUAAUACUUCCAUGGAUUCUUUCAAAAUAUCUUGAUAAUAAAAAGAUAUAAUGUU